GAGUUUGAUCCUGGCUCAGGAUGAACGCUGGCGGUCAGCUUAACACAUGCAAGUCGAACGGGAGUAGAAAUACUCCAGUGGCGGACGGGUGAGUAACGCGUGAGAAUCUGCCUUCUGGUCGGGGACAACCACUGGAAACGGUGGCUAAUACCGGAUGAGCCGAAGGGUAAAAGAUAAAUUGCCAGAAGAGGAGCUCGCGUCUGAUUAGCUAGUUGGUAGGGUAAAAGCCUACCAAGGCAUCGAUCAGUAGCUGGUCUGAGAGGACGAUCAGCCACACUGGGACUGAGACACGGCCCAGACUCCUACGGGAGGCAGCAGUGGGGAAUUUUCCGCAAUGGGCGAAAGCCUGACGGAGCAAGACCGCGUGAGGGAAGAAGGCUCUUGGGUCGUAAACCUCUUUUGUUAGGGAAGAACACAAUGACGGUACCUAACGAAUCAGCCUCGGCUAACUCCGUGCCAGCAGCCGCGGUAAUACGGAGGAGGCAAGCGUUAUCCGGAAUUAUUGGGCGUAAAGCGUCCGCAGGUGGCGAUUCAAGUCUGCGGUCAAAGACUGGGGCUUAACCCUGGAAAGGCCGUGGAAACUGAAGAGCUAGAGUGCAGUAGGGGUAGAGGGAAUUCCCGGUGUAGCGGUGAAAUGCGUAGAGCUCGGGAAGAACAUCGGUGGCGAAAGCGCUCUGCUGGACUGCAACUGACACUCAGGGACGAAAGCUAGGGGAGCGAAUGGGAUUAGAUACCCCAGUAGUCCUAGCCGUAAACGAUGGAUACUAGGUGUGGCUUGUAUCGACCCGAGCCGUGCCGUAGCUAACGCGUUAAGUAUCCCGCCUGGGGAGUACGCACGCAAGUGUGAAACUCAAAGGAAUUGACGGGGGCCCGCACAAGCGGUGGAGUAUGUGGUUUAAUUCGAUGCAACGCGAAGAACCUUACCAGGGCUUGACAUGUCGCGAAUCUCUUGGAAACGAGAGAGUGCCUUCGGGAGCGCGAACACAGGUGGGGCAUGGCUGUCGUCAGCUCGUGUCGUGAGAUGUUGGGUUAAGUCCCGCAACCAGCGCAACCC
rnacentral:rRNA from 1 species